GUGCAGGGUGAGGGAGGGGACUCAGACUGGGGGUGUGGGGCAGUUCGGGGUCUAAGAGAAGGGGAAGGAGAUCUGGGGGUUCACAGUUGGAGAGGGGUCUCUACUCACGGGACUGGGUAGAAAGAUCCUUAGAGUCGAAGUCUAGGGAGGCUUAGUGCCUUCACUCACCCACCAUGACCUUGGACAGACAACCUCUCCCGGCCUCGGUUUUGACAUCUGUAAAACCUGGGGAAAGCUGCAGCUCGCUGGGCAGCUGCACAGUGACCAGAGGGCUGACGUCCCCCAAGCACCUUCUCCGAAUGGCCGUGGGGACUGUCUGACCUUGGAGGGGGUCUGGGACGGGCACGUGUUCCAACCCCAGGCCUGGUGCCCUUCUAUGCUGUUGUGUGUUGGCCUCCUCCUCCUGGUCCGUUCAGUUCGGCAAGCUUCUCUGGUUCUCCCUGCGGCCGCGAGAACGCAAGACACAGGCACUCGCUGCCCCGAAGCAGAGGGAGGAAGGGUUGCCUGCGUGGGGCUUUUGAGCGGGGUUUUGAAGGAUGAGUAAGAGUUCGCCAGAAGCACCAGGCUUGGAGGAGGAUCCCAUUCUCAGACCAGUGGAGAAGCAAAUGCCACCCACUUCCCACAUCCCUUGAGUUGGUUCUCAGAUAUCCACAUUAGCUCCUCCCCAUGGCUGGGUAAGUUUGGGGGUGGGGCUUACAGGAGGAUUUCUUCCAUCGAACAUCAUUUUCGGUGCUGGAGGUGGAGGACAGGAGGGUCCAGAACACCGAGUCCACAUUGAAAGCUGGCCCACUCAGAACCAGAGGAGUUGGGCAUCUUUCCAAGGAGCAUACAGCACUUGGGAAGGCAAGGAGGCUUCCUGCAGCAAGAAAUAUUGUUACUGGGUUUUGAAGAUGGCGCGGCCGAUCCAGGUGAAGCCUGCGGACAGUGAAAGCCGCGGAGGUAGUUGUCAUCUGUCCGUGGCCACCAGGCCGGGGGUCGGCGGAGGAGCCGGGGAAGGAGGGGAAUCUCUGAUCAGAAGGAUGUAGCCGUCACCUCUCCGCUCACACGCCUAAUGGU